rnacentral:rRNA from 1 species
UAGGGAAUAUUGGUCAAUGGGCGCAAGCCUGAACCAGCCAUGCCGCGUGAGUGAUGAAGGCCUUCGGGUCGUAAAACUCUUUUCUGAGGGAAGAACAUCCUGCGUAGGAAAUGACGCGGGCUUGACGGUACCUCAGGAAUAAGCAACGGCUAACUCCGUGCCAGCAGCCGCGGUAAUACGGAGGUUGCGAGCGUUGUUCGGAAUAACUGGGCGUAAAGGGAGCGCAGGCGGUUGGGUAAGUCUAAAGUGAAAGCCCGGGGCUCAACUCCGGAAGUGCUUUGGAUACUACCCAACUCGAGUUCGUGAGAGGAAAGCGGAAUUCCAGGUGUAGCGGUGAAAUGCGUAGAUAUCUGGAGGAACACCAGAGGCGAAAGCGGCCUUCUAGGCCACGGCUGACGCUCAGACGCGAAAGCUAGGGGAGCAAACG